UGGGGAAUAUUGGACAAUGGGCGAAAGCCUGAUCCAGCCAUGCCGCGUGUGUGAAGAAGGCCUUUUGGUUGUAAAGCACUUUAAGCGAGGAGGAGGCUACUAGUACUAAUACUACUGGAUAGUGGACGUUACUCGCAGAAUAAGCACCGGCUAACUCUGUGCCAGCAGCCGCGGUAAUACAGAGGGUGCGAGCGUUAAUCGGAUUUACUGGGCGUAAAGCGUGCGUAGGCGGCUGAUUAAGUCGGAUGUGAAAUCCCUGAGCUUAACUUAGGAAUUGCAUUCGAUACUGGUCAGCUAGAGUAUGGGAGAGGAUGGUAGAAUUCCAGGUGUAGCGGAGAAAUGCGUAGAGAUCUGGAGGAAUACCGAUGGCGAAGGCAGCCAUCUGGCCUAACACUGACGCUGAGGUACGAAAGCAUGGGGAGCAAACAGG
rnacentral:rRNA from 1 species